UACGUAGGGGGCAAGCGUUGUCCGGAAUUAUUGGGCGUAAAGGGCUCGUAGGCGGUUUGUCGCGUCGGGAGUGAAAACACCGGGCUUAACUCGGUGCUUGCUUCCGAUACGGGCAGACUAGAGGUAUGCAGGGGAGAACGGAAUUCCUGGUGUAGCGGUGAAAUGCGCAGAUAUCAGGAGGAACACCGGUGGCGAAGGCGGUUCUCUGGGCAUUACCUGACGCUGAGGAACGAAAGCUAGGGUAACGAAAGGG
rnacentral:misc_RNA from 1 species